CGAGGGGAGGCCCAGCUCCUCCAGGGCUGGCCGACACUGCACCUGACAUCCGUGUGCAUCAAAUGAGCUGCCCGUAACACUGUGCCCCGCGUCCGACGGGAACGUUCUCAAAGGCAUCUCUGAGUCCCAGCACUUAAAAGUGAGUCUUGAUGCCAGGCAUGGAGCUCAAUUCUUUCAUCAAUAAUAAUUCCAUCCAGGCCAAAGCUCUUGUCUCUUUGCCAAGGUGUCUAAAUUUUCAUCAAUGAGAAGGGCAAUGCUGCUUUGAGAUUAUAAUCACUUUUACAGCAACAGUGUCUGAAAGCACCUGUUUACCUGGUUAACCAAAACACGAAGUUCAGAGGAAGAACAUCUCCACCUGUGCCACUGUGACAGCGAGCCUGUUAGGAGCUCUGAAGUAUGUCAGGGAGCUUGAUGUGCUGCAGUUUGGGGCAAGCCAGUUGAGAAACAGUUCUCCCACUACAUAGGGAUUUCCUCACCUUUGGAAACCCAAGGUUUUAGGGCUUCCCUAAAGGUGGCCUCCUGUUUAGGAGCAUGCUGCCUCAUUUGCCAUCAGCUGUAGCUGGAGGAUUUCCUCACAAAAGAGGAGUGCAGUACACUCCAGUGAUGGUAUCCCUUUGGCAGCAGUCCAACACAACCUUUAGUUGCCAGAAAACCAUGAAUUGAUGGGGUUUGAGAGAAUAUUUUGGGGGAGUACCCCUUUGUACUUACCCUGCUCUUACAUCUCUUUUUGACCAUGGUCAGAGAUGGAAAGUGGGUAGGCAAGACCUUUAAUUUGACACAUACAGCCACACUUAGGAUUUUACAUAUUCCAAAAUGAGAUUUUAUGGACUGCUCAGGCAAGCUGCUGACUUCACAACUUCCUUGAGUCCCAAGGGGCAAGGAUACCUUUUGUCAGCACCCACAGAGCCAUGUGUACAGCACAGUCACAUCUGCAGGGGGGAACCACGAGAUGGGGCAUCAAAAUUCUGUGCUACAGGGUGAGGAUCCUGCUGAGUCUUUUCCAGGAGGCUUUCUUGGCAUGCAGUAACACACCACCUGGUGAUGUCAGGGGACCAGCUGUGUGAAGCACCAGCAGUGUCUGACCCCUGGCAGGCACAGCAUGAGAGAGAGGAUGUGGUGGUUUUCCCAUACCACACAUGAAGUAGUGAAGGAUCAUGAGGCAGAAGCCAAAUGAGUGGAUCUUCUGCUUUCAGUGUCAGCAGUGAGCAGCGGGGGGAAGAACUGGUGCAGCUGGGACAUCUGCCUCCAUGUGCCAAUGAUCUCACUCUUCUGGUCUCUGUAAUCAUUCUCUGCCAGAAGAGGCUUGAUAUCUUACAGCCACCCCCUUCAGUUCCCAAUAAAAAUGAAGCAGCCAGAUCACCUCCUGGAUACUUUUUGUCUGCUUGCAAUUGCAAACAUUAGGUUUGACUUUUGCAAACAUUUGAAAAAAAAGCAGUGGCUCAGAGAUAAAAGACUGAUUUAUGACUUCAGUCACCUGACUAGGGCUGGGCAUAUGGACAUGCAUGUAUCACUUAUUACUGAACUUUGUACUUACCUCUUUAAACACAGAGCUUUGCUCCUGGAAGGAAAGCAGUCAAGGAAGCAAGGGCAAACACACCCUACAAAUCUUAACCAAAUGGUAGGAACUGUGCUAAUUUUGUUCUCUGCGAUGUUAUCAGUGAGUGGUAGCUUAUUACAGUGUCACUCGGGAAAAUAAAGGUCACCUCAGAAAAGAGACUCAUGCCAAUUCCUUGGAUUCAGAAAAUUGGUCACAAAAGCUCCUUUUCUUGAGAAAAUCCCUUUGAAACACACUGACAUAUUUAAAGCAGCGAGGUGACAGCCUGUGAUAGAAGAAAUCCAGGCAGACAGCAAAUCCACAGUAAUUGCAAAGCAUUUGGACGCUGCAGUGUGGUGCAGGGUUCCCAGAGUAGCUUACUGUCUCUCUUCUUUUCAACGAGUUACACACAGACCUGGAGCAGCUGGCUCAAGCUGGCUCUGAGCUGCUGUACACCAGCAACUGCUCUGUUCCGCCUGCUUUGACAGGGUAAAAAACUUCCGCCCCUUUUGGCACGACCUUCCUCCUUUUCUGUACUCUCAAUCCCUCUUGUUCUCCAUCUCCGGGCACAGACAGAGUCCUUUGGCAAUGUCAGCAAAAGGAAAAACACUUUAAGCGUAAUAGGUCAAUUAGAGAUAAGUAUUAUCUUGGAAAACAUCACCCUAAAUGAUUAAAAGAUUAGUGUAAUAACUGGGGAAGGGAUCUGAGAAUAGAAAAAUAAGCUUACAUGUAGACACUACUGUCAACGCCACUUAAAAUAUAUCAAGGUCAGAAAAUGGCACUGCUUGGCUAAGAGCCUUGUAGCACACCUCCCACCACAGGAAAAGUGCAGGAGGAGUUACACACCCCUCUGGUGCCUGGUCACCAGCAAGCCACAACCAACCCAGCGUGGGCAAUAGCUGGGCCAUCCAGCUCCAAGGCCUUUGUGGCAGCAGUGAGAAAUGCAGUGGUGCAGACUUGAGUUAACUGCACCUUGUUUGCAUGUGGGAGCAACAGCAGGAGCCCUGUGGAAGCACACAGAGGUGGAGAAGGAGAGCAAGGACAGCUGACAAGACAGCCUCAAGAAAAAGUUGAAAGAGUGCUUCUGGUGUGUGAAAGUCAUGGAAGCAUUCAGCUUGUGCAGCUGGAGACCCAAAGCAUCCAGGGAGCCAGGACCUCAUAGCCAAGAAAUCAUAUUCCUGAAGCUGGAUACUUCCACUGUGAUACAAGAGAAUAUAUAAAUAAUAACGAAGGAAAUAUGUGUUUUCUAAUAUACCACUCUAGUCGAGAAGGAAAGAAAAUCCAUCUUGCAAAGAGCCCUGCACAGGACCAGCUGAAAGGAUGACACAGCAAAAGGGGAAGGAGCAAUAUGGGUUAGAAGUUUCUCAAAUCUUCUUUGAAACCAGAACAUUCCCACAUGGGGUAGUCCUCUGUGAAACUGCUUUCAAAAAAGGCUGAAGAAGUCUGCUUUCCCCUUCUUUUUUCUACUCACAGAAACUCUUAACUCAAAAUUGAAAAAGAGGAGUAGCCAGUGUAAAAAAUUCUAGCAGUCACACUACUGCUAAAUCAUAGUGCAACACUGUUGCCCAAGGCAUUUCGGCAAUGAGAAAAUGUACUGUGGGAGAACAACCCCUGCUAGGUGAGAAAAAGGAAAAAAUAGGCAAGUGGGAAGAACCCAGACAAAUACAUCUCUGGACUCCAUUUCUGUCACCAUGCACAAUUUGUUUUUCUAUCCAAAGCACCUCCCCAGCCAGCCAAAAACCAACCCAGCUGUCCAACAGUUCCCGUUGAGUCAAACACCACAGCAAGCUUGGAGAUGAAUGCUUCCUCCACAAUCUUCCUGACCCACUUCUAAAAGCUGGACAUUUUCUACCCUCAGGGACCCCAAGAGCAGCAAGGUUCACUGGAGGAGGUUCACCUUCCUGCCAGGGCCGAGCUCCUGGAUCAAUGUGGGGUGAUUUUCACUUCUCUGCUUUCAGAGCAUGGCUCUUCUGCAAGGGAAAAGGAUGUUUUUUACUGUAAAAAAGCAGGUAUGGUACAGCAUUCCCAAGCCAAAUUUAUGUUGACUUCAGGUCUCUUGCUUCCACAUCCCCAGAGGAUGGAGAUUUGCAUCUUACAGAGCGUCCUUGUGCUGAAAGUCUAUGCAGAUGUUGCAGCAUUUCAGAGAUCACUCAAAUUGCUGGAAACACUACAUGGGGAAAAUAUAUCUGCCUCAAACUCAGAAAACAGAGAAAGCAUCUUGGCUUUAAUUCUGAUUCUCUUUUCCUUUAAUGUUGAUUUCCCUUCUUAAUUUCCUUUUUGAUACCUUUGAUUGAUCUCUAAGAAAGAAAUGAUUGUGAAAUUCUAAGUCUAAGCACUGCAAACUGCUGUAAAUAGAAGUAGACCAGACAGAAUGGUGUUAAAUGAACAAAAAUGGCCAGUUUAUUCACUGGAACAGUUAUGAAUUACACUGUAAUUUUAAUUGGAACAUAAAGAUGUAAGAAUCAGUAUAUCAGCUUCUUUUAAUUGUUUUCUUCAGCACUAGAGUGUUUUCCCCAACCAUUUGACUGCAUGAUCAUAUUACACAUGUACAAGCACAGACUUUAUGAAUCCCUCACAAGGUAUUAAUCUAGGAUUGUCUACUAGGACAAGGAAAAGUUAACAUGAGAAUUACUUCAAUUUUAAAAAAUAAAUGAUGCAUUUUUGGAAACAAGAAUUAUUUAACUUUUUUGCUUUUAGCAUAAAGUAGCAACAAGAAGAGUUUCCAAUAUUCAGUCUUUAGCAAAUGAACAUAUAUACUUUUAUAUUCUUCACCACCUAGAAACACCUCAUCAUUUAACCCCAAGAAGGCAGGACAACAUAAUGUCAAUUCAACAUAGGAGUAGCUGAGUUAUUACAGCAGUAAACAUACAGUAUACAAAUUUGUGUUUGUCACAAACUCCACCAAUGCUAAAACUCUUUUGAAAGGAACACAGCAAUCUGUAUGGUUCAUUAAAUACAGAACAUCAUGCAAAUGGAAACAUUCAAUAGAUUACAAAAAUCACAAAACAUCAGUUUUCUUUUUUUUUUAAUUGUUUACAAAGGAUCAAUUUAAUUAACCCUUUAACAGUCAAACCACAGGGCUGAAAAUCAAUAGGGAAAUAAGUAAUAAAAUGGACUUAAUUUAACCACUGGCGUAGCGCACAUAGCCAUAUCUGUGAACAGGAGAAAUAAUAAUAAAAUAAGCUAGAUUACUCUUAUUUCUUGUUCAUAGCUGACAAAAUACCAACUAGAUAGCAAGCCAGUCUACUUGAAACUUUUAUCAAAUGCUUCUCUUUAUUGAUUUUCCAAAAUAUUUUUGAAAUCAAGCAACCACAUAUUCAAUAACAACUCAGAUUACUAACACUGAGAAAAAACAUACACUCUUAUCCACUCUUUUACAGCAAAUCAUGAUAAUCAAAACAAAUAACUUUGUAGAAAGACAUUUUUGAAAUACAAGGCUCUAUCACCCAGAGUCUGCCCACACAUUAACUCCAGUAAUGAAAUAUUGGAUUUUUCCUUUACCUUUUGUCACUUUGUCACUUGGUUGCCAUUACACUUCACAAAGGGGAUUUUCAAUAACUCCACAUGAAACAGAUUAAAAACCAAUAAGGAUUUAAGCUGUGCACCUCCAAAUGAAAGACACAGACUCUCUGUGAUAGUUCUCUUGCCCUCCUAGCAAGAGGAAUAUGCAUAUCACACAAGAAAUAAGAAUUUUCUAGCUUAGUUAUGGAUAUGGAGAAGCUACACAAUGUUAACAAUGUCAUGCACACAUUUUCCAUUGCAUAUUUUGAUGUAUUUGCACCUGAAGGCAAAAGGCAAUUACUUUUUUAUUUCUUUUCCACAGGAUGCUUAAUUACACACAAAAAAACCAACCCUUAAUGGUUAAAAAACGUCUGAAUAGUGUCUACCCCUUUCAGACUCACUGCACACACAGCAAAGGAAAACUGAAGAAGAAGAGAUGACUGGAAUUUUUAAAGAGGUAACUAUAGCAAUUAUCAUACUUCAAAGGUAAAACAUCAGUCCCUGCCAUUCUCAAAUGAAGAUUUCCAAGGAACAAAAGAAAGAAAUUUACUGUAACUUCAGUGGAUAUGCAUCUUCUGCCAAAGAAAGGAACAGACCUCAGAAAGGCUGAUGUAAUGUAAUGUAACCUUAUGAUGAUGAUGAUCAGUCCAGCUAUAAGUGGAGCUGACAGCACAGCUACUGACUUUGGCAAUGCAGGAUGAAUGAUCAGGUUGGUACCAAAAUCAGGGCCCGCACUCCGGGUGCCGUUCCCAGUGGGAUAAGGAUUGGGCCAGAUUUUACUAACAUCUUACUUAAGUAAAUCCAACAUAAUUAUGGUGAGCAGCCUUCAUAGGUGAGAUCAUAUUUCAUAAGUGAGGUUAUAUUUCAUAACAUAAUCUCCUUUAUGUACACACAUUAAUAUGGUAAAUUACUUAAACAACUUCAUCAUUGCUUUUAAAAUAAAAAACAAACUGAAAAUUCACUUGGCAUUAAAACUUG